ACUCAAGAAAAGAAUUYUAGUCCAACCUAAAGUAAUCCAAUAAACUCAAAUAUACCACUUUAGAGCAAUUCAAAUAAGGUACAGCCUAUUUGAAAAAGAAUACAACCUACAACGGAGGGUAACUUACGCACACAUAGCCAAGUUGACCUAAAAGCAGCCAUCUUAAAAAAGCGUCAAAGCUUAACUUAACCCCCUCCUAAUGCCCCCACCAACACAAAACCCCCACAACACUAUUGAGUACUUCUAUAUUUUUAUAGAAUUUUUUAUGUUAAAACUAGUAACAAGAAAACAUUCUCUUAUAAUGUAAACGUAAAUCAGAGCGGAUACCCCACUGAUCACCACACACCCACGAACAGCACCUCACCUAGAAAGUCCUGUUCUAUCAGCUGUUAACCUGACACAAGAACAUUUCAAGAAAGAUUAAAUGAAAAAGAAGGAACUCGGCAAACAUUAAUCCCGCCUGUUUACCAAAAACAUCGCCUCUUGACAAAAUAAGAGGUCCAGCCUGCCCAGUGACCCCAGUUAAACGGCCGCGGUACCCUGACCGUGCUAAGGUAGCGUAACCACUUGUCUUUUAAAUAAAGACUCGUAUGAAAGGCAUCACGAGGAUCAAACUGUCUCCUUUUUUCAACCAGUGAAACUAAUCCCCCCGUGAAGAAACGGGAAUUCCACUAUAAGACGAGAAGACCCUGUGGAGCUUAAGGCAAAGUAAUUUUUAUUACUUCAAAUAACCCUUUCCGAAGAUUAUACACACAACAUCUUAAUUAUUUAGCCUUUAGUUGGGGCGACUGCGGAGUAAAACCAACCCUCCACGCGAACAAUCUCCCACAGAGCCACAACUCUGCACAUCAACACAUUGACAACAAUUGACCCAAUUACUUGAGCAACGAAACAAGUUACCCCAGGGAUAACAGCGCAAUCCAUUUCAAGAGUCCCUAUCGACAAAUGGGUUUACGACCUCGAUGUUGGAUCAGGGUAUCCCAGUGGUGCAGCCGCUACUAAAGGUUCGUUUGUUCAACGAUUAAAACCCUACGUGAUCUGAGU
rnacentral:rRNA from 1 species